AUAUCAAUAAGCGGAGGAAAAGAAACCAACAGGGAUUGCCUUAGUAGCGGCGAGUGAAGCGGCAAAAGCUCAAAUUUGAAAUCUGGCGCCUUCGGUGUCCGAGUUGUAAUUUGAAGAUUGUAACCUUGGGGUUGGCUCUUGUCUAUGUUUCUUGGAACAGGACGUCACAGAGGGUGAGAAUCCCGUGCGAUGAGAUGCCCAAUCCUAUGUAAGGUGCUUUCGAAGAGUCGAGUUGUUUGGGAAUGCAGCUCUAAGUGGGUGGUAAAUUCCAUCUAAAGCUAAAUAUUGGCGAGAGACCGAUAGCGAACAAGUACAGUGAUGGAAAGAUGAAAAGAACUUUGAAAAGAGAGUGAAAAAGUACGUGAAAUUGUUGAAAGGGAAGGGUUUGAGAUCAGACUCGAUAUUUUGUGAGCCUUGCCUUCGUGGCGGGGUGACCCGCAGCUUAUCGGGCCAGCAUCGGUUUGGGCGGUAGGAUAAUGGCGUAGGAAUGUGACUUUACUUCGGUGAAGUGUUAUAGCCUGCGUUGAUGCUGCCUGCCUAGACCGAGGACUGCGAUUUUAUCAAGGAUGCUGGCAUAAUGA
rnacentral:rRNA from 1 species